rnacentral:rRNA from 1 species
UCAGUCGACUCCUACGGGGAGGCAGCAGUGGGGAAUAUUGCACAAUGGGGGAAACCCUGAUGCAGCCAUGCCGCGUGUGUGAAGAAGGCCUUCGGGUUGUAAAGCACUUUCAGUAGGGAGGAAGGUAGUGUAGUUAACAUCUGCAUUAUUUGACGUUACCUACAGAAGAAGCACCGGCUAACUCCGUGCCAGCAGCCGCGGUAAUACGGAGGGGUGCGAGCGUUAAUCGGAAUUACUGGGCGUAAAGCGCAUGCAGGCGGCCUGUUAAGUCAGAUGUGAAAGCCCGGGGCUUAACCUCGGAAUUGCAUUUGAAACUGGCAGGCUAGAGUCUUGUAGAGGGGGGUAGAAUUUCAGGUGUAGCGGUGAAAUGCGUAGAGAUCUGAAGGAAUACCAGUGGCGAAGGCGGCCCCCUGGACAAAGACUGACGCUCAGAUGCGAAAGCAUGGGGAGCAAACAGGAUUAGAUACCCUGGUAG